UGGGGAAUUUUGGACAAUGGGGGAAACCCUGAUCCAGCCAUCCCGCGUGUGCGAUGAAGGCCUUCGGGUUGUAAAGCACUUUUGGCAGGAAAGAAACGUCGCGGGUUAAUACCCCGCGAAACUGACGGUACCUGCAGAAUAAGCACCGGCUAACUACGUGCCAGCAGCCGCGGUAAUACGUAGGGUGCAAGCGUUAAUCGGGAUUACUGGGCGUAAAGCGUGCGCAGGCGGUUCGGAAAGAAAGAUGUGAAAUCCCAGAGCUUAACUUUGGAACUGCAUUUUUAACUACCGGGCUAGAGUGUGUCAGAGGGAGGUGGAAUUCCGCGUGUAGCAGUGAAAUGCGUAGAUAUGCGGAGGAACACCGAUGGCGAAGGCAGCCUCCUGGGAUAACACUGACGCUCAUGCACGAAAGCGUGGGGAGCAAACAGGAUUAGAUACCCUGGUAGUCCACGCCCUAAACGAUGUCAACUAGCUGUUGGGGCCUUCGGGCCUUGGUAGCGCAGCUAACGCGUGAAGUUGACCGCCUGGGGAGUACGGUCGCAAGAUUAAAACUCAAAUGAAUUG
rnacentral:rRNA from 1 species